CCUCGAUGCGGGGUACACAGGGAUGACAAGCGCCCCAGCAGCUCCCGCGUGCUAAGCGCGGGCGACGUGCAGGCGCAGUGCCAGGCGCGCUCCAGGCAUCCUCUCAUUUAACCCUCCCAGCCAAAGCCGUCGUCUCUCCCAUUCUAACUGAGGAGCUAUGCGAGGCUGGAGGAAGGGGCUUGGCCCAGGAGGCGACAGCUGGAGCGGGUGACUCGGAAAGGAGAACUGUCCCAUUUUACAGAUGAGGAACCCGAGGUCCGCAGGACACAAGUACCACAGCUCUCUUGUGAUGGAGGCAGGAUUUGAGGCCAGGCCUGCACCCAAGAAGGGAAUCCAGUGAGAGGACACCGGGCCCUGUGGCCAGCUAGAGCCUGCAAGAAGGUCAUUGCACCACAGUUGUACCAUCUGCUCUCAUAUAGAUGGCCUCUGGGUGUGUCCCGGCGUCUGCUAAAAUGAACAUUCGGGU